rnacentral:rRNA from 1 species
UACGUAGGGAGCAAGCGUUGUCCGGAAUCAUUGGGCGUAAAGAGCGCGUAGGUGGCUGCAUAAGUCCGUUGUGAAAGUCAAAGGCUCAACCUUUGAAAGCCGAUGGAUACUGUGGAGCUAGAGUACGGAAGAGGCGAGUGGAAUUCCUGGUGUAGCGGUGGAAUGCGCAGAUAUCAGGAGGAACACCAAUAGCGAAGGCAGCUCGCUGGGACGUUACUGACACUGAGGCGCGAAAGCGUGGGGAGCAAACAGG